UUUUUCCUCAAUUGAGUCGAAGCUAAUGCCUUUAGGCCAUGGAUGAAGCCUUUUGAUCGUCUAUGAACCAGUGUGAAAAUGAUAUAUUGCAACGGUAUCCUUCUCUCAUCUUAUAAUCACUAGAGACUACUAAUCAAAUGACAUGUAUCAACAUACAAAAGAAAAAAAAAACAGAACACCAUUGCAAGCCAAAAAAAACAUUCCUCUCUUGAAAGCGGAAGUCAUUUUUCCUCAAUUGAGUCGAAGCUAAUGCCUUUAGGCCAUGGAUGAAGCCUUUUGAUCGUCUAUGAACCAGUGUGAAAAUGAUAUAUUGCAACAGUAUCCUUCUCUCAUCUUAUAAUCACUAGAGACUACUAAUCAAAUGACAUGUAUCAACAUACAAAAGAAAAAAAAAGAACACCAUUGCAAGCCAAAAAAAACAUUCCUCUCUUGAAAGCUCUGUUUGUCAAAAUGAAAAACCAUCACAAAACAUAUGUAUAACUUCAUUGGAAAGGGAGGAAAAUGAGACGCAUAAGAAAGAGAAGUCAUUUUUUCCUCAAUUGAGUCAAAACUAACGCUUUCAGGCCAUAGAUGAAGCCUCUGAUCGUGAUGAACCGUUAAAAUGAUAUAUUGCAACUGGGAUGUAGUAUAAUAAAAUUACCAUUCUUUUAUCAACCUCUAAAAGAAAAAGAAAAAGAAAAUAAGAACAAAACACCAUUGCAUGCCAAAAAAAUCUUUAUCUAUUUGUCAAAAUAAAAAACCAUCACAACAUAUAUGUACAACGAGGGAAGGAAGAUGACCCACGUUCGG
rnacentral:lncRNA from 1 species